ACGGGAGGCAGCAGUGAGGAAUAUUGGUCAAUGGAGGCAACUCUGAACCAGCCAUCUCGCGUGAAGGAAUACGGCCCUACGGGUCUUAAACUUCUUUUAUAGGGGGAUAAAGUGAGCCACGUGUGGCUUUUUGUAGGUACCCUAUGAAUAAGCAUCGGCUAACUCCGUGCCAGCAGCCGCGGUAAUACGGAGGAUGCGAGCGUUAUCCGGAUUUAUUGGGUUUAAAGGGUGCGCAGGCGGCACGUUAAGUCAGCGGUGAAAUGUCGGGGCUCAACCCGGGCACUGCCGUUGAAACUGGGGGGCUUGAGUGCGUUUGGGGUGGCUGGAAUGUGCGGUGUAGCGGUGAAAUGCAUAGAUAUCGCACAGAACGCCGAUCGCGGAGGCAGGUCACCAAGCCGCAACUGACGCUGAGGCACGAAAGCGCGGGGAUCGAACAGGAUUAGAUACCCUGGUA
rnacentral:rRNA from 1 species